AGUGGCAGACGGGUGAGUAAUGUAUAGGAAUCUACCUAGUAGUACGGAAUAAUUGUUGGAAACGGCAACUAAUACCGUAUACGCCCUACGGGGGAAAGAUUUAUCGCUAUUAGAUGAGCCUAUAUUAGAUUAGCUAGUUGGUAAGGUAAUGGCUUACCAAGGCAAUGAUCUAUAGCUGAUCUGAGAGGAUGAUCAGCCACACUGGAACUGAGAUACGGUCCAGACUCCUACGGGAGGCAGCAGUGGGGAAUAUUGGACAAUGGGCGAAAGCCUGAUCCAGCCAUGCCGCAUGAGUGAAGAAGGCCUUUGGGUUGUAAAGCUCUUUCGGUGAGGAAGAUAAUGACGGUACUCACAGAAGAAGUCCUGGCUAACUCCGUGCCAGCAGCCGCGGUAAUACGGAGAGGGCUAGCGUUAUUCGGAAUUAUUGGGCGUAAAGAGCGCGUAGGCUGGUUAGUAAGCUAAAAGUGAAAUCCCAAAGCUCAACUUUGGAAUUGCUUUUAAAACUGCUAACCUAGAGAUUGAAAGAGGAUAGAGGAAUUCCUAGUGUAGAGGUGAAA
rnacentral:rRNA from 1 species